UGACAUCCAAGAGAAUAUGGAGGAAUUAGAAAUGAUGGAAAAAGAGUUAAUUGAAGAAUUUGGUAACCAUAAAGCCCAGAAUAUUGGCAAAG